UACGUAGGGACCAAGAGUUGUUCGGAUUUACUGGGCGUAAAGGGCGCGUAGGCGGCAAUUCAAGUCAUCUGUGAAAUCUCCGGGCUUAACUCGGAACGGUCAGAUGAUACUGCUUUGCUAGAGUGCGGAAGGGGCAAUCGGAAUUCUUGGUGUAGCGGUGAAAUGCGUAGAUAUCAAGAGGAACACCUGAGGUGAAGACGGGUUGCUGGGCCGACACUGACGCUGAUGCGCGAAAGCCAGGGGAGCAAACGGG
rnacentral:rRNA from 1 species